CGCUGGCGGCAGGCUUAACACAUGCAAGUCGAGCGGAGUGGUUGUGCUUGCACAAUCACUUAGCGGCGGACGGGUGAGUAAUGCUUAGGAAUCUGCCUAUUAGUGGGGGACAACAUUCCGAAAGGAAUGCUAAUACCGCAUACGCCCUACGGGGGAAAGCAGGGGAUCUUCGGACCUUGCGCUAAUAGAUGAGCCUAAGUCGGAUUAGCUAGUUGGUGGGGUAAAGGCCUACCAAGGCGACGAUCUGUAGCGGGUCUGAGAGGAUGAUCCGCCACACUGGGACUGAGACACGGCCCAGACUCCUACGGGAGGCAGCAGUGGGGAAUAUUGGACAAUGGGGGGAACCCUGAUCCAGCCAUGCCGCGUGUGUGAAGAAGGCCUUUUGGUUGUAAAGCACUUUAAGCGAGGAGGAGGCUACUAGUACUAAUACUACUGGAUAGUGGACGUUACUCGCAGAAUAAGCACCGGCUAACUCUGUGCCAGCAGCCGCGGUAAUACAGAGGGUGCGAGCGUUAAUCGGAUUUACUGGGCGUAAAGCGUGCGUAGGCGGCUGAUUAAGUCGGAUGUGAAAUCCCUGAGCUUAACUUAGGAAUUGCAUUCGAUACUGGUCAGCUAGAGUAUGGGAGAGGAUGGUAGAAUUCCAGGUGUAGCGGUGAAAUGCGUAGAGAUCUGGAGGAAUACCGAUGGCGAAGGCAGCCAUCUGGCCUAAUACUGACGCUGAGGUACGAAAGCAUGGGGAGCAAACAGGAUUAGAUACCCUGGUAGUCCAUGCCGUAAACGAUGUCUACUAGCCGUUGGGGCCUUUGAGGCUUUAGUGGCGCAGCUAACGCGAUAAGUAGACCGCCUGGGGAGUACGGUCGCAAGACUAAAACUCAAAUGAAUUGACGGGGGCCCGCACAAGCGGUGGAGCAUGUGGUUUAAUUCGAUGCAACGCGAAGAACCUUACCUGGUCUUGA
rnacentral:rRNA from 1 species